rnacentral:rRNA from 1 species
AGCAGCCGCGGUAAUUCCAGCUCCAAUAGCGUAUAUUAAAGUUGUUGCAGUUAAAAAGCUCGUAGUUGAAUUUCGGGGUUAGUAGGUUGGUCAUGCCUCUGGUAUGUACUGGUCUCACUGAUUCCUCCUUCCUGAUGAGCCGUAAUGCCAUUAAUUUGGUGUUGCGGGGAAUUUGGACUGUUACUUUGAAAAAAUUAGAGUGUUUAAAGCAAGCUAACGCUUGAAUACAUUAGCAUGGAAUAAUGAAAUAGGACGUUUGAUUCUAUUUUGUUGGUUUCUAGGAUCGACGUAAUGAUUAAUAGGGAUAGUUGGGGGCAUUAGUAUUCAAUUGUCAGAGGUGAAAUUCUUGGAUUUAUUGAAGACUAACUACUGCGAAAGCAUUUGCCAAGGAUGUUUUCAUUAAUCAAGAACGAAAGUUAGGGGAUCGAAGACGAUCAGAUACCGUCGUAGUCUUAACCAUAAACUAUGCCGACUAGGGAUCGGAUGAUGUUAAUUUUUUAAUGACUCAUUCGGCGCCUUA